UCGGUGACAGGUGGCUGCAUGGCUGUCGUCAGCUCGUGUCGUGAGAUGUUGGGUUAAGUCCCGCAACGAGCGCAACCCUUGUCCUUAGUUGCCAGCAUUCAGUUGGGCACUCUAAGGAGACUGCCGGUGUCAAACCGGAGGAAGGUGGGGAUGACGUCAAGUCCUCAUGGCCCUUAUGUCCAGGGCUACACACGUGCUACAAUGGCCGGUACAAAGGGGCGCAAGACCGCGAGGUGGAGCAAAUCCCAAAAAACCGGUCUCAGUUCGGAUUGGAGUCUGCAACUCGACUCCAUGAAGUUGGAAUCGCUAGUAAUCGCGUAUCAGCAUGACGCGGUGAAUACGUUCCCGGGCCUU
rnacentral:rRNA from 1 species